rnacentral:rRNA from 1 species
UCUCUGGAUGAGUUGCGAACGGGUGAGUAACGCGUAGGUAACCUGCCUGGUAGCGGGGGAUAACUAUUGGAAACGAUAGCUAAUACCGCAUAAGAGUGGAUGUUGCAUGACAUUUGCUUAAAAGGUGCAAUUGCAUCACUACCAGAUGGACCUGCGUUGUAUUAGCUAGUUGGUGGGGUAACGGCUCACCAAGGCGACGAUACAUAGCCGACCUGAGAGGGUGAUCGGCCACACUGGGACUGAGACACGGCCCAGACUCCUACGGGAGGCAGCAGUAGGGAAUCUUCGGCAAUGGACGGAAGUCUGACCGAGCAACGCCGCGUGAGUGAAGAAGGUUUUCGGAUCGUAAAGCUCUGUUGUAGGAGAAGAACGAGUGUGAGAGUGGAAAGUUCACACUGUGACG